rnacentral:rRNA from 1 species
UCCAGACUCCUACGGGAGGCAGCAGUGGGGAAUAUUGCACAAUGGGGGGAACCCUGAUGCAGCGACGCCGCGUGGGUGAAGGAGCACCUCGGUGCGUAAAGCCCUAUCGGCAGGGAAGAAAAGCGAACAGGUUCGCCUGGACGGUACCUGACUAAGAAGCCCCGGCUAACUACGUGCCAGCAGCCGCGGGAAUACGAAGGGGGCAAGCGUUAUCCGGAUUUACUGGGUGUAAAGGGAGCGUAGACGGCAGCGCAAGUCUGGAGUGAAAUGCCGGGGCCCAACCCCGGAACUGCUUUGGAAACUGUGCAGCUCGAGUGCAGGAGAGGUAAGCGGAAUUCCUAGUGUAGCGGUGAAAUGCGUAGAUAUUAGGAGGAACACCAGCGGCGAAGGCGGCUUACUGGACUGUAACUGACGUUGAGGCUCGAAAGCGUGGGGAGCAAACAGGAUUAGAUACCCCUGUAU